ensembl:lncRNA
AGCCAGCUAAAACCUGCCGUUGCAUUUUAAAUACACGACUUUGCUCUUGAUAAAGCUCUCAACAUGUGCGCCCUUCUGUUUAACUCUCCCUAGGUGGGAUAAAAUGUAGGGAAACGAGGUUAAGUUGAGCAGAAUACGUAUUUCAAGAACUGAGUGUACUCUUUCAAUCUGAUGACUUAUCUGAGAGAAAGAGGAAAAGCAACCAAAUUGAACCUAUGACACCACAUAAUACGAGAUAACCACGUCGAGUUCUACAACAAUUCAAUUUUUAAAACAGAAAAUUUGUCUAUGAAACCAUGAACUUGGGAUUCUGUGUCUACUGUAUAGCUGUAAAUUAGGCUAUUCGGCGGUCGCCGCGGUUCUAACCUCCUUGCUCUCCCUCGUAAAUGACAAGGCACCUCUAACCUACGGCUUUGUGUCUUGUUUUUUUUCCCCUGUGUGAAUUUCAAAGCAAAAGCGAGCGGUGAAUACCUUUCAGUGGCCGGUACGCGUCGGGGUCGCCCUCUUCGCACUUAAAGACGCUGGUCCAUGCGAGGGCCAAUGCAGAUUUCGGUGGCCGAGGGGUGGAACUCGGAGCAGGCAGGGCAGAACCUUCGACCCUGAGGGACCUCCGGGCUAGCUUUGGAGUAGGCGAGACAGACAGAAACGGAGCGAGGGAGGGAGAGAGAGGGAGAGAGAACAGGAGCAAGCCUCGAUCUGGGAGAGGGGGAGUCUCGACCGCAGUGUAGUGAGAAGGGACUGCCACUGGGGUCAGAGAGCACGUUCUAGAGCACAGCCCCGCUUAGGCAUGGCGGCGUGUAUAGGGUUUGAAUAUGUAGCCUACCCCACUGUACACUGUCUGUAUGCAGGGAGGAACAGCCAUGAUAGACGCGGCGGCGCUUCCAUGUGGUGAAUUUCCAUGCUGCCGUUGUAUUUCGCGCUCUUAGAAUGUCCUUAUUAAGCUACCGAUUGAGUAUUGGGCACAAUUGUGGUGGGCUAGAUCAAAGUGCUAACUGGAUAGUGGUCUUGGACACUGAAAAGUUAAAUGGAGCAUUGGAAAGGUGUUUGUCACCUCUGAUCAUCAAAGAAGUCUGUUGACAUGCAAGGACCACGACAGGAUUGGAAACUACCCAUGAGAUGCAUGAAAAAUAUCAGAACAAUCAAAGACAAGACCAAACCAGAAGGACACUAAAUGGAUGAAAAUGAUUGGUACUAUUUCUGUGUUAUCUGAUGGACAUAUUAGGCCGUAAAUUUACACCCAAGGUCAACAACUCUGGGAAUCUAUUACCAUGAAGCACAAGAAAAAGGAUACCAGGAAAAGAUAGAGUGGGCCAAGGAUGAGUGAACCCCCCACCCCCCCUCCCCCCCUUUACACCAGGACAAGAGAGCUGGAUCAGGAAUAUUACCGCAGUCAUUAUAGAAAACUGUCUGCAUUUCGAAAAGGGAUCAAAGGGUAGGGCAUUUUGUCAAAACUGAUCAAUGUGGAAGUGUCAAC